GCUUCCGUAGCUCAGUUGGUAGAGCACUUCACUCGUAAUGAAGGGGUCGCGUGUUCGAAUCACGUCGGAAGCU
rnacentral:tRNA from 1 species